rnacentral:rRNA from 1 species
GACGAACCGUGCGAACGUUAUUCGGAAUCACUGGGCUUAAAGCGCGUGUAGGCGGUUCGGAACGUCUGUCGUUGAAAGCCCCCGGCUCAACCGGGGAAUCGGCGUGGAUACGACCGGACUGGAGGGGGGUAGGGGGAUCGGGAACUUCCGGUGGAGCGGUGAAAUGCGUUGAGAUCGGAAGGAACGCCCGUGGCGAAAGCGCGGUCCUGGACCCUUCCUGACGCUGAAAUGCGAAAGCCAGGGGAGCGAACGGG